ACACCUCCCUUCAUCGGCGUUGGGAACAUCGAUUGCUACGAAGUAGUGGAAAGAAAGGAAACCGCGGCGGAGAUGAUGAUAGCCUUCUACUGGAGUUUUGAGUUUUUUUUUCCUUUUCUUUUUAUGUGUGUUUUGUUGAGAAAGAGAGCAAAGGGAGAGGGUAGUUUUGUUAAUUUUGGCUGAGGGGUUACUUUGUAAAUA